rnacentral:rRNA from 1 species
UACGGGGGGGGCAAGCGUUGUUCGGAAUUACUGGGCGUAAAGGGCUCGUAGGCGGCCAACUAAGUCGGAUGUGAAAUCCCUAGGCUCAACUUGGGAACUGCAUCCGAUACUGGAUGGCUUGAAUUCGGGAGAGGGAUGCAGAAUUCCAGGUGUAGCGGUGAAAUGCGUAGAUAUCUGGAGGAAUACCGGUGGCGAAGGCGGCAUCCUGGACCGACAUUGACGCUGAGGAGCGAAAGCUAGGGGAGCAAACGGG